GGUCGCUGCUUAUAACUCACGCUUUCUAUUACCUGGCUUGCUCAUUUCUCUGCUGAUGGUUUCACUGCGACUGGCGGCUCGAAAAAUGAAGCAUCUGGUGGCCGAAGCACGAAGAUCUCAAAGAUCAAAGAUCUCAAAACUGGAUUAUCAACACGUUCUCAUUCCCAACUCGUCAAACGUGUGACGCAUGGUCAGGCUCCCUCUGCUUCACUUAUGGACGCGCAGGGUACCCCCCUCGCGUCGGGAAUUGACGUGAAGGGUCCUCCGAUUGAAGAGAUUGCUGCGGAAGUGCCUGUUGUCGAUGGAGGAUCACUAACAGGAGCGUGGAAGACUCCAGAAUCCACUCUGGCUGGAAUCCGGUGGAUAUACAGUGUUUACAGGUACAGUACGUGAUAUCAAGGGCAGGCGGUCAACACUGGGGGUAGACAAG